GCCUGGGUGGCUCAGUCGGUUGGGCAUCCGACUUCAGCUCAGGUCAUGAUCUCGCAGUUUGUGGGUUUGAGCCCCGCAUCGGGCU
rnacentral:tRNA from 1 species